rnacentral:lncRNA from 1 species
AUGAUAGAGUGCCUGCCAGAGAGAGCCCAGGGCCUCCAGGCUGAGCCAGCUCCUUUACAGCCAUACUCAGAGUCCGCCAGCUGGAGCAGAUUGAAACUGCAGGGAAGCGGAAGGAGGCAGAGCCAGGCUGAAGUCAUCUUCCUGCUUCCUAGAGAGGCCAGAGAGAAGGGGGAGAGGAGCCACGAGGAUGCCACACCCCAAGUCACCCAGAUGUGUGGUUUCCCUUUCUCUGAAUUCAGAACAUCAGAUUAUCCUUUCCAAAAGAGUCUGGCAUGGGAUCCAGGCUGGGCCAACAGAGGGGCCUGUAUCACACUGAGUGGGACACGGGGGCUCUCACAUUGUCCCCUGGGAAGUACAGGAGAUGUACUAACAGUGCAAGCAAGCUGGCUGAAGCACUCGUAGAGGUUUCAUUGUAGAUGAUAUCCCAUAGGGCCUUUGUCCCUGACUUUGAACCCCACUCUUAGACUUCAUGAUGGUCUGUGAGCUGUCCUCUAUCUUUGAGGACAUCACCUGCUGAAUUCACAAUCUGUGCCUGUGCCUUGAAACUAGGAACCAAGGCGGGUCUGCUGUCACUGAGACACUGGCUUUCUUCUCAGCGGGUCUUCCUGAGAGUAAAAGUUGAUGCCAAGAGGUAGAAGCAGAUAUGAGGAAGGCUCAAGUGCUCAUGUCUGUUGAGGAAGACUGAGGUGCUCAUGUCUGUUGAGGAAGACUCAAGUGCUCAUGUCUGUUGAGGAAGGCUCAGGUGAUAAUGUCGAUUGCUGGCUCCUCAGGGGUUGAGGAAGGUGAC